rnacentral:rRNA from 1 species
UACGUAGGGUGCAAGCGUUAUCCGGAAUUAUUGGGCGUAAAGAGCUCGUAGGCGGUUUGUCGCGUCUGCUGUGAAAACCGGAGGCUCAAUCUCCGGCCUGCAGUGGGUACGGGCAAACUAGAGUGCGGUAGGGGAGAUUGGAAUUCCUGGUGUAGCGGUGGAAUGCGCAGAUAUCAGGAGGAACACCGAUGGCGAAGGCAGAUCUCUGGGCCGUAACUGACGCUGAGGAGCGAAAGCAUGGGGAGCGAACAGG